AGGACGAACGCUGGCGGCGUGCUUAACACAUGCAAGUCGAACGGAAAGGCCCUUCGGGGUACUCGAGUGGCGAACGGGUGAGUAACACGUGGGUGAUCUGCCCUGCACUUUGGGAUAAGCCUGGGAAACUGGGUCUAAUACCGAAUAGGACCGCAUGCUUCAUGGUGUGUGGUGGAAAGCUUUUGCGGUGUGGGAUGGGCCCGCGGCCUAUCAGCUUGUUGGUGAGGUAAUGGCUUACCAAGGCGACGACGGGUAGCCGGCCUGAGAGGGUGACCGGCCACACUGGGACUGAGAUACGGCCCAGACUCCUACGGGAGGCAGCAGUGGGGAAUAUUGCACAAUGGGCGCAAGCCUGAUGCAGCGACGCCGCGUGAGGGAUGACGGCCUUCGGGUUGUAAACCUCUUUCGCCAGGGACGAAGCGCAAGUGACGGUACCUGGAGAAGAAGGACCGGCCAACUACGUGCCAGCAGCCGCGGUAAUACGUAGGGUCCGAGCGUUGUCCGGAAUUACUGGGCGUAAAGAGCUCGUAGGUGGUUUGUCGCGUUGUUCGUGAAAACUCACAGCUUAACUGUGGGCGUGCGGGCGAUACGGGCAGACUUGAGUACUGCAGGGGAGACUGGAAUUCCUGGUGUAGCGGUGGAAUGCGCAGAUAUCAGGAGGAACACCGGUGGCGAAGGCGGGUCUCUGGGCAGUAACUGACGCUGAGGAGCGAAAGCGUGGGGAGCGAACAGGAUUAGAUACCCUGGUAGUCCACGCCGUAAACGGUGGGUACUAGGUGUGGGUUUCCUUCCUUGGGAUCCGUGCCGUAGCUAACGCAUUAAGUACCCCGCCUGGGGAGUACGGCCGCAAGGCUAAAACUCAAAGAAAUUGACGGGGGCCCGCACAAGCGGCGGAGCAUGUGGAUUAAUUCGAUGCAACGCGAAGAACCUUACCUGGGUUUGACAUGCACAGGACGCCGGCAGAGAUGUCGGUUCCCUUGUGGCCUGUGUGCAGGUGGUGCAUGGCUGUCGUCAGCUCGUGUCGUGAGAUGUUGGGUUAAGUCCCGCAACGAGCGCAACCCUUGUCUCAUGUUGCCAGCACGUUAUGGUGGGGACUCGUGAGAGACUGCCGGGGUCAACUCGGAGGAAGGUGGGGAUGACGUCAAGUCAUCAUGCCCCUUAUGUCCAGGGCUUCACACAUGCUACAAUGGCCGGUACAAAGGGCUGCGAUGCCGUGAGGUGGAGCGAAUCCUUUCAAAGCCGGUCUCAGUUCGGAUCGGGGUCUKCAACUCGACCCCKUGAAGUCGGAGUCGCUAGUAAUCGCAGAUCAGYAACGCUKCGGUGAAUAC
rnacentral:rRNA from 1 species